UACGAAGGGGGCUAGCGUUGCUCGGAAUCACUGGGCGUAAAGCGCACGUAGGCGGAUUGCUAAGUCAGGGGUGAAAUCCUGGAGCUCAACUCCAGAACUGCCUUUGAUACUGGCGAUCUUGAGUCCGGGAGAGGUGAGUGGAACUGCGAGUGUAGAGGUGAAAUUCGUAGAUAUUCGCAAGAACACCAGUGGCGAAGGCGGCUCACUGGCCCGGUACUGACACUGAGGUGCGAAAGCGUGGGGAGCAAACAGG
rnacentral:rRNA from 1 species